rnacentral:rRNA from 1 species
ACUGCUCAGUAACACGUGGAUAACAUGCCCUAAGGUGGGGGAUAAUCUCGGGAAACUGAGGGUAAUACCCCAUAGAUCUUAGAUGCUGGAAUGCUCUUAGGUCGAAAACUCCGGUGCCUUAGGAUUGGUCUGCGGUCUAUCAGGCAGUAGUGGGUGUAAUGGACCCACUAGCCCGUGACGGAUAUGGGCCUUGAGAGAGGGUGCCCAGAGAUGGACUCUGAGACAUGAGUCCAGGCCCUACGGGGCGCAGCAGUCGCGAAAACUUCGCAAUGGGGGAAACCCCGACGAGGGAAUUCCAAGUGCUAGCACUUUGUGUUAGCUGUUCUUCUGUCUAAAAAACAGGAGAAGUAAGGGGCGGGUAAGACGGGUGCCAGCCGCCGCGGUAAUACCCGCGCCCCGAGUGGUGGUCGAUAUUAUUGAGCCUAAAACGUCCGUAGCCGGUCUUCUAAAUCCUUGGGUAAAUCGGGCAGCUUAACUGUCCGAAUUCCGGGGAGACUGGGAGACUUGGGACCGGGAGAGGUCAGAGGUACUUCUGGGGUAGGGGUAAAAUCCUGUAAUCCUGGAAGGACCACCGGUGGCGAAGGCGUCUGACUAGAACGGAUCCGACGGUGAGGGACGAAGCCCUGGGGCGCAAACGGGAUUAGAUACCCCGGUAGUCCAGGGUGUAAACGCUGCGGGCUUGGUGUUGGGGGUCCUUAGUGGGCGCCCAGUGCCGGAGAGAAGUUGUUAAGCCUGCUGCUUGGGGAGUAUGUCCGCAAGGAUGAAACUUAAAGGAAUUGGCGGGGGAGCAC